GCAGCACAUAUAUAUGCAGUCGUAGAAAGCAGCAGCAGCCGAUUAUAUAUAGCUAGCUACUAGCUCUAACUGAUCGGCCGGCCAUGGGGAAGACGGAGCACAAGAAGAAGCAGCAGCAGCACGGCGGCGAUGAGGCGGCGGCGGCGGCCAAGGAGAGGCUGGAUCGCUUCAAGGCGUGGCUGAUGCAUUUCGACGGCGACGGCGACGAGCAUAUCAGCCGGAGGGAGCUCCGGGACGCCAUCCGCUCCGGCGGCGCCCGGUUCGCCACCGUCCGGGCGUGGGUCAACCUCUACCUCGCCGACAAGAACCGGAACGGCGUCAUCGACGACGGCGAGAUCAAGCACCUCAUGGACCUGACCGAGAAGGACCUCGACCUCAGCAAGCUGCAGCCCACGCCUGCGGCAGCACGGCCGACGGCGACCGGCGCCCCGCCGGCCAUGGUGGUGGUCUCGGCGUGCCAGUUCCAGACGACUCCUCUCGUCUCUCGUACCAUUGACCUACGCAAAUUAACUGCCAAACCAGUACUUUCUAGUACCGCCAAUAAUUAGAUCUCGUUCAGUUUGGAGGGGGUUAAAAAGGAUUAAGAGGGAAUAAUUCCUCACCGGGAUAAUAAACUCUAUUCGAUAUUUCGAUUAAUGCCCAGGCGAGAAGGAUUGAAGAAGAUUCAUUCCACACUAAAUUAUAUGGUGUAGAAUUAUUCCCUCUAUAAUCCACUAGUCAUUUUUUAUCCCUGCCAUCGGUCCUUCUGCUCUACGUGUGCACUCAUUGAGCUCACGAACCAAACAAGCUAACAAACGAAUUGAGUCAAACCAGCUUGUUAUUAUAAUGAGCUAAUCGAUCGAGUCGGACGAUAUUCACCCCUGCAUGCAUACGGUAUUAUUAUAUGUAUUUAAAAAUAUUUUUGCAUGAUGUUAGUUUUAUAGUUGUUGAUAAUGUGUUGCGAAAGUAACCAAAUAGUUCAAGUAUAAUAUUAGAGAGCAUGAAAAACUAAUAUUAAAAUCUGAUUAGACGUCAUUUUUAAUACUACAAAUCUGGACAGGUUAGGACGGAGGGAGUGGGUCUUGUAUCCUAUAUACUUAUAUAGUUCAUCCCCACUAAGUGUAGUUAAUGCUAUUUCUCUCUUCUCUUAUGAAGCCACAUCAUUCUAAUUAUUUUUAGCCUUUGGAUGAUAGAUCUAUGGUACAAAUAGUCUCUUCUUUCUUGUAUCAUAAAACCAUACAAUCUCAAUUGUUUUUUUAGUUCAAAAUUCAUAAGUAUCAAUUACAUAAAAUAUGUUCAUCUUGCAUUAUAUUUGUAAUCAUAUGUUAAUUAUAUAAAACAUAGGAAGUGAUUUUAUUUUGGUUUACAAAAUAUAAUAUAGCUUAUUUUUACAUACUAUACAACUUAAUUUCCCGCAGCAACACGACGGGGUAUUCAUCUAGUUUUAAAAUAAUCAGGGACGGACCCAGGUCCAUGCCACCUAGGCCAUAGCCCGGGACCUAGGUACUAACACUAGUACAUAAUUCAUUUUUCCAUGCGGUCAAAAUCCACUUUUCCGUGCGGAGGUAGCGCCCAUUUGUACCCAGGAGUAUGCGAAAAUCAAUAUUUUCGGGUGCGGGUGGCCCAACCGCACGAGACAUGGUGGUAAGCCAUUAAUAACACAUAUGAUAAUCCCUAUGUUUCAGGGGCGGACCCAAAAUUUUUUAGGCCUCGGACCGGUCCAUGGUGUAUUUUAAUCCACACACUAAAUACAUGGUGAAUUUACACACGUUUCUAUGGGCUUUAUAGAGGGAUUAUCAUAUGUGUUACUACUGGCUUACCACGAUGUUAAUUUCAUGUAUAUAUGAUUGUCCCAACUGUUACAGUGCAUGCUGAUCUACAUGGUACUACAUGGGAUUAUACUUGAGCACUAGUACAUGGUACUACAUGGGGUUUGGUUUUGGCAGUGCUAGGUUUUUUUUCUUUUUCAGUGAAUCAGUGUCAGUGCUAAGCUUUGCUCUUGCCUCAGAAUAGUCAAAGACUCACGUGU
rnacentral:lncRNA from 1 species